rnacentral:rRNA from 1 species
CGUGAGGAACCUGCCUUGGAGUGGGGAAUAACAGCUGGAAACAGCUGCUAAUACCGCAUAAUAUAUCUGGGCCGCAUGGCUCUGGAUAUCAAAGAUUUAUCGCUCUGAGAUGGACUCGCGUCUGAUUAGCUGGUUGGCGGGGUAACGGCCCACCAAGGCGACGAUCAGUAGCCGGACUGAGAGGUUGGCCGGCCACAUUGGGACUGAGACACGGCCCAGACUCCUACGGGAGGCAGCAG